rnacentral:rRNA from 1 species
CUACGUGCCAGCAGCCGCGGUAAUACGGAAGGUCCGGGCGUUAUCCGGAUUUAUUGGGUUUAAAGGGAGUGUAGGCGGUCUGUUAAGUGUGUUGUGAAAUUUAGGUGCUCAACAUUUAACUUGCAGCGCGAACUGUCAGACUUGAGUACACGCAGCGCAGGCGGAAUUCAUGGUGUAGCGGUGAAAUGCUUAGAUAUCAUGAGGAACUCCGAUCGCGAAGGCAGCCUGCGGGAGUGUUACUGACGCUUAAGCUCGAAGGUGCGGGUAUCGAACAGGAUUAGAUACCCUGGUAGUCCGCACUGUAAACGAUGGAUGCCCGCCGUUGGCGCCCUGCGCCUGCGGCCAAGCGAAAGCAUUAAGCAUCCCACCUGGGGAGUACGCCGGCAACGGUGAAACUCAAAGGAAUUGACGGGGGCCCGCACAAGCGGAGGAACAUGUGGUUUAAUUCGAUGAUACGCGAGGAACCUCACCCGGGCUUGAAUUGCAGUCGCUGCCCACAGAGACGUGGGCUUCCUUCGG